UUACAGCCAUAUCACAGUGAAACACCAGUUCUUGUCCAAUCACCGAAGUUAAGCAACAUUGAACCUGGUCAGUACUUAGAGAGUGACUGUUCAGGAAUACCAAGUGCUGUAAGC